rnacentral:lncRNA from 1 species
UUCAACCCGUGUACUUCAAAACAAAGCAGUGGCAAACUAAAUAGCUCAAAUGUAGCUCUGACAUUUUUUUUUCUGAAUACUCCUGUCUUCUACAUGUCCUGCUUUGCAUUCAGCUGCUCCUAUAGGAGACAAGGUCAAAGAGAAGAUCAGAGGAUUCUCAAAUUGAAGAACUAUACUGGGGAUAUUUCAGUUAUGGAAGUUUACAGCAAAGAGACAGAAGAGAAGCACAAAAUGUUUCUUCUUACAAAGCCACUUGAUCCUGAAAAAAAAAUGACCUCUGAACACUGUCUUCUGUGUUGCUCCCUAGAGCCACUCUCCAUCCUCUGCAAUUCUCCCUGUCUCCAGAGGCCUUUUUGAAUGGCAUGAAUAACUAUCCUCCCACUUCAGGUUCAGUUGGCUUGUAUCAUUGGGAACCCCAGCAAGAAGAAACCUAGGGUAGAAAAGUUGUGUCCCUAGGUCCUUCGAGUUCAAUUACUUUAGACUCUAAAGAUCCCAACUGUUCAAAAAAUGGUUUUCAAGUUGUGCUGCAAUUGUGUACAAUGAAUCAAAAUGCAUUCUGCUGUCAUAUAUGACUAAUUAAAAAUUUUAAAGAAAACAAAUGGGAAAAAUGAUUUUCGUUGCUGUUUUCAGUAAUUUCUCACUCCCCUCAUUAUUAGAAUUUAAAGAAGUAUGUCACUUCAUUUUUCCAAGAAAUGUGACUAAAUAGGAUUAGAGGUGCAAGAGAUUUAUUAAGGGGAAUUUCUGUCAAGGGUCUAAGUAGAUAAGGAGAGCCCAUAAUACUGGUGCAAGGACAAGAGAAAGAAAGAGGAUGGAAAAGAAAGUUCAUCAAGUAGAACACAAUUCUAAGCAAAGUUCAGUCAGAUAGAUGGGUAUUCUCCUAGCCAAUUUUCUAUUAGGGAAAUCAUACACCUCAUAAAAUAGACAAUACUAGUACACUUACAGUACACUUACCAUACUAACACAUUGGUGCAGGGUAGCCAAGGGUAAGGGCAGCCUUGCUAUAAAAAAUGUGGUACUGGAUUCAGUGAUAUGGAAGCUGGGACUGACAUUUCCCUCUGCUUCCUACAGUAGCUUCUAAGAACUAAAAGGUCUACUUCACAAGGUGAUAGCAUCCCCUGUGUUAUAAUACUGUAUUUUCUCUUAUGGAUUCACUAAAACCUGUUCAUACCUUUGCAUACACAGUAGAUUUUUCUAACUUAAAAUGUACCUUUAAAAAAUAGAGAACCUGACCCAUUAUUUGUGCUUUUUAUAUAAAUAACUUUAGUAUUGAAUGCUGCUUUAACUUAAAAGCAAAAUAUCAGAAAAAUAAAUAGUAAUGAUCACCAAAAUCA